rnacentral:rRNA from 1 species
CUCGCCUACGGGGGGCAGCAGUGGGGAAUAUUGCACAAUGGGGGAAACCCUGAUGCAGCGACGCCGCGUGAGCGAUGAAGUAUUUCGGUAUGUAAAGCUCUAUCAGUAGGGAAGAAAAUGACGGUACCUGACUAAGAAGCCCCGGCUAACUACGUGCCAGCAGCCGCGGUAAUACGUAGGGGGCAAGCGUUAUCCGGAUUUACUGGGUGUAAAGGGAGCGCAGACGGCGAUGCAAGCCAGGAGUGAAAGCACGGGGCCCAACCCCGGGACUGCUCUUGGAACUGCGGGGCUGGAGUGCAGGAGGG